UCCUGGCUUAGGAUGAACGCUGGCGGCGUGCUUAACACAUGCAAGUCGAACGGAGCUUAGAAGGAAGCUUGCUUUCAUUUAAGCUUAGUGGCGGACGGGUGAGUAACGCGUGAGCAACCUGCCCUCGAGUGGGGAAUAACAUCGAGAAAUCGGUGCUAAUACCGCAUAAAGUCGAGAGACCGCAUGAUCUUUCGACCAAAGGAUUUAUUCGCUUGAGGAUGGGCUCGCGUCCGAUUAGCUAGUUGGUGAGGUAACGGCCCACCAAGGCAACGAUCGGUAGCCGAACUGAGAGGUUGAUCGGCCACAUUGGGACUGAGACACGGCCCAGACUCCUACGGGAGGCAGCAGUGGGGAAUAUUGGGCAAUGGGCGAAAAAGCCUGACCCAGCAACGCCGCGUGAAGGAUGAAGGUCUUCGGAUUGUAAACUUCUUUGAUUGGGGAAGAAUAAAUGACCUACCCAAAGAACAAGCCACGGCUAACUACGUGCCAGCCGCGGC
rnacentral:rRNA from 1 species